ensembl:rRNA 5S_rRNA 5S ribosomal RNA
ACAAACAAACAAAACAAAACAAUUGAGGGCCUGGUUAUUACUCCAAUGGGAGACUACUUGGGAAUAUCAGGUGUUGUAGGCA